rnacentral:tRNA from 1 species
GAGGGUGUAGCUCAGUGGUAGAGCACGUACUUAGCAUGCAGGAGUCCUGGGUUCAAUCCCAGUACCUUCA